AUACAGCUAAAGAGAUUUGUCAAAGAACCAGCAAUUAAGAAAACCUGGCAUCACAAGUCAAGGACUUUCAGGUCACGGAUUGACGGGCUCCUGACAGGCUUUUGGCUUUAAGGGAAGAGGUGCAAGAGCAAUCCACCAAGAAAAAAUGAAUGUCUCCAGAAGAAUACACUGUCUUCGUGCUCACAGGCCGAAACCUUCUGUAAGCAUUGGGGACAACAUGCAGAAUUCUUGUGGAUGCAAACAAUGGUGUGGAAAUGAGCAAACUACGGUCCACACGCUGUAUACACUUAUUGCCAUGGUUAUCCUAAUUGCAAUAUGGGGGGUAUGGGCCAGGAAAGAUUUCUAAGCAUGCUAAAAGAAAUACUUUCAGUAUCAAAACUCAAGAGUUCAGAGAGACCUUUUGAGAACAAGAAGGACAAAACCCUCAGCGUAUACAUACGGGAACUCUUGAAUUGAAGAAUGGAAGUACUUUCGCCAAUGGAUGCAAAGUAUCUCUCUCUCUCUUUGGCGAUGCACAGAAUGCAACAACAAAAGAAUGUGAAGUAUUGAUUAUUUUGAUACUACUUUGGAUAAAGGUUAUAAU